UGCAGUCGAACGGCAGCACGGGGGCAACCCUGGUGGCGAGUGGCGAACGGGUGAGUAAUACAUCGGAACGUGUCCUGUAGUGGGGGAUAGCCCGGCGAAAGCCGGAUUAAUACCGCAUACGAUCUACGGAAGAAAGCGGGGGAUCUUCGGACCUCGCGCUGUAGGGGCGGCCGAUGGCAGAUUAGCUAGUUGGUGGGGUAAAGGCCUACCAAGGCGACGAUCUGUAGCUGGUCUGAGAGGACGACCAGCCACACUGGGACUGAGACACGGCCCAGACUCCUACGGGAGGCAGCAGUGGGGAAUUUUGGACAAUGGGGGCAACCCUGAUCCAGCAAUGCCGCGUGUGUGAAGAAGGCCUUCGGGUUGUAAAGCACUUUUGUUCGGGAAGAAAACUUCGAUCCUAAUAUGGUUGGAGGAUGACGGUACCGGAAGAAUAAGCACCGGCUAACUACGUGCCAGCAGCCGCGGUAAUACGUAGGGUGCGAGCGUUAAUCGGAAUUACUGGGCGUAAAGCGUGCGCAGGCGGUCUGUUAAGACCGAUGUGAAAUCCCCGGGCUUAACCUGGGAACUGCAUUGGUGACUGGCAGGCUUUGAGUGUGGCAGAGGGAGGUAGAAUUCCACGUGUAGCAGUGAAAUGCGUAGAGAUGUGGAGGAAUACCGAUGGCGAAGGCAGCCUCCUGGGCCAACACUGACGCUCAUGCACGAAAGCGUGGGGAGCAAACAGGAUUAUAUACCCUGGUAGUCCACGCCCUAAACGAUGUCAACUAGUUGUUGGGGGAUGCAUUUCCUUAGUAACGUAGCUAACGCGUGAAGUUGACCGCCUGGGGGAGUACGGUCGCGAGAUUAAA
rnacentral:rRNA from 1 species